AGCGAACGCUGGCGGCAGGCCUAACACAUGCAAGUCGAACGAACCCUUCGGGGUUAGUGGCGGACGGGUGAGUAACACGUGGGAACGUGCCUAUAGGUUCGGAAUAACUCAGGGAAACUUGUGCUAAUACCGAAUGUGCCCUUCGGGGGAAAGAUUUAUCGCCUUUAGAGCGGCCCGCGUCUGAUUAGCUAGUUGGUGAGGUAAUGGCUCACCAAGGCUACGAUCAGUAGCUGGUCUGAGAGGAUGACCAGCCACAUUGGGACUGAGACACGGCCCAAACUCCUACGGGAGGCAGCAGUGGGGAAUCUUGCGCAAUGGGCGAAAGCCUGACGCAGCCAUGCCGCGUGGAUGAUGAAGGUCUUAGGAUUGUAAAAUCCUUUCACCGGUGAAGAUAAUGACUGUAGCCGGAGAAGAGGCCCCGGCUAACUUCGUGCCAGCCGCCGCGGUAAAAC
rnacentral:rRNA from 1 species